rnacentral:rRNA from 1 species
UACGUAGGGUGCGAGCGUUGUCCGGAAUUACUGGGCGUAAAGAGCUCGUAGGUGGUUUGUCGCGUUGUCCGUGAAAACUCACAGCUCAACUGUGGGCGUGCGGGCGAUACGGGCAGACUGGAGUACUGCAGGGGAGACUGGAAUUCCUGGUGUAGCGGUGGAAUGCGCAGAUAUCAGGAGGAACACCAAUAGCGAAGGCAGCUCGCUGGGACGGUACUGACGCUAAGGCGCGAAAGCGUGGGGAGCGAACAGG